rnacentral:rRNA from 1 species
CCCUUAGAUGUCCUGGGCCGCACACGCGCUACACUGACAUGUUCAACAAGUUUCUCCUAGUUCGACAGGACUGGGAAAUCUUUGAACGCAUGUCGUGAUAGGGAUAGAUCAUUGCAAUUAUUGAUCUUGAACGAGGAAUUCCUAGUAAACGCGAGUCAUCAGCUCGCAUUGAUUACGUCCCUGCCCUUUGUACACACCGCCCGUCGCACCUACCGAUUGAAUGUUUCGGUGAAGAUUCCGGAUAGGACUGAUUUGAUUUAUUUCAUUUCUGACCUAAAAGCUAUCUAAACCUCAACAUUUAGAGGAAGGUGAAGUCGUAACA